rnacentral:sRNA from 1 species
UAAAUCGAAUACAGUUGUUGAGAAGGC